rnacentral:rRNA from 1 species
CCCUUAGAUGUUCUGGGCCGCACGCGCGCUACACUGAACAGUUCAACAAGUCUUAACCUUGGCCGAUAGGUCUGGGUAAUCUUUGAACGCUGUUCGUGAUUGGGAUAGACCUUUGCAAUUAUGGGUCUUCAACGAGGAAUUCCUAGUAAACGCAAGUCAUCAACUUGCAUUGAUUACGUCCCUGCCCUUUGUACACACCGCCCGUCGCACCUACCGAUUGAAUGGUCCGGUGAAGCCUCCGGAUUGGCGCGCACCUCGGUGCCGCCGAGAAGUUGGCUAAACCUUACCAUUUAGAGGAAGGUGAAGUCGUAACA